AUAGCGCAUAGUACCGUGAGGGAAAGGUGAAAAGGACCCCGGGAGGGGAGUGAAAGAGAACCUGAAACCGCGGACCCACAAGCGGUCGGAGCCAUGGCGACAUGGUGACGGCGUGCCUUUUGUAGAAUGAGCCUGCGAGUCGCCGUGCGUGGCGAGGCUAAGGGACAGGAGUCCCGGAGCCGGAGGGAAACCGAGUCCGAAGAGGGCGUCAGUCGCGCGGGGCGGACCCGAAGCCAAGUGAUCUAGCCGCGGCCAGGCCGAGGCAGGGGUGGAACCCUGUGGAGGGCCGAACCUAAGUCCGCUGAAAAGGGCUGGGACGAGCUGCGGCUGGGGGUGAAAGGCCAAACAAACUUGGAGAUAGCUGGCACUCUCCGAAAUAGCUUUUGGGCUAGCGUCGCGCGGACCGCGCGGGAGGUAGAGCACCGGAUAGGCGAGGGGCCGUCACUGGCUGCCGAGCUUAACCGAACUCCGAAUGCCCGCGCGCAGUACGCGGCAGUCAGGCGGCGACUGAUAAGGGCCGUCGCCGAGAGGGGAACAGCCCGGACCGCCGGCCAAGGUCCCUAAUGCGCGCCGAGUGGGAAAGGAAGUGCGGAUGCACAGACAGCCAGGAGGUUGGCUCAGAGGCAGCAACGCCUCCAAGGAGUGCGUAACAGCUCACUGGUCGAGUAUCCGCGCGCCGACAAUGUAACGGGGCUAAGCGCGCAACCGAAGCCGCGGGGGCGGAGAGAUCCGCCCGGUAGGAGAGCAUCCCGCGAGCGGGCGAAGCGGGGGCGUGAGCCCCCGUGGACGCGGCGGGAGAGAGGAUGCAGGCAUGAGUAACGUGAAAGACGGGUGGGAUCCCCGUCCGCCGGAAGCCUGAGGUUUCCAGGGUAAAGGCAAUCUGCCCGAGGGUCAGCCGGCCCCUAAGCCGAGGGUGAGAACCGUAGGCGAUGGGAAGCGGGUCAACAAUCCCGCGCCGCCGGGCGCUUACGAUGGGGCGACGCACUGCGGGUGCGCGCGCGGGGCGGCGGUACGCCCCGCCGAGGGCGCGAGGCGAUGAGGGGCCCAGGGAAGUCCGGGCCCCGAGCCGAGCGCUGAGGGACCGCCCCCACGGGGGCGGGAAGGCGCGCGCGUGCGGUGACGAGAAACAACCCCUGGGUGCUACGCCCGGGACCGUACCAUAGACCGACACAGGUGGGCGAGCUGAGAAUGCGAAGGCGACGGAAGAGUUCGCGUCAAGGAACUCGGCAAAUUGCAUGCGUAACUUCGGGAUAAGCAUGGCCGCCGCGAGGCGGCCGCAGAGAAACGGCCCAUGCGACUGUUUACCAAAAACACAGGUCCGCGCGAACCAGCGAUGGGAGGUAUGCGGACUGACACCUGCCCGGUGCCGGAAGGUGAACGGCGGCCGUAACUAUAACGGUCCUAAGGUAGCGAAAUUCCUUGUCGGGCAAGUUCCGACCCGCACGAAAGGCGUAACGAUUUGGGCGCUGUCUCAACAAGGGAC
rnacentral:rRNA from 1 species